AGGAGAGGUGACCUCUCAGUCCUGCAAUAAAGCAGCAAUAAAACGUGAAUCAGGCAGGGACUGGCUUCGGUAAGUGUGAGUCAGCGCCGCCUGGGCUCCCGGGGCACCUCCGUCUGCAGGAGGGGGCCAGCUCUGACUCACCUUGGCCUGCUGUGACCAGAGGCAGUGGCUGCACCCUGCAGGACAGUGGCUCUGUGCCAUCUGGGUGGGAAGAACUGCCCUCACCCUGUCCAGCAGGAGAGCUGUCCCCACGGUGUCCGGGUGUCCUCCCUGCCACAUGGCUCUCAGCCUCGGAGGGGUCCCUCCAGUUGCCCCAAACCCACUUCACCAUGGCCCGCUUUCCUUCAGAACACCACUGCUCUUGGGUGUGCAGGGGCACCGGGGGACAUUUGAGAAGUGACUUAGCGGUUCUCUGUCUUGUGACAGAAGGUUCGCCCCAGGCCACAGGCUGUCUGGGGCUGAUGCAGAGAGAGCCCCCUGCCCCUUGCAGGUGGUGGUGGGUGUAAUUAAGGGCUGAAUCGUGUCCCCCCAGGUUCAUGUGGUGAAGCCCCAACUCCUGGUUGGUGACAUUUGGAAAUAGACCCUUUGUGGAGGUGAUCAAAGAGGUGCUAGGGAGGAGCCCUGGUGGGUGGGAUCAGUGUUCUUGUCAGAGACAAGCCCUCUCUGUCUGUGUCUUUCUGUCUGUCUCCUCUCCCCGCCUUUCGGUCCCUCUCUUCAGCUCCUGUUUCUCUCUCUCUUGGCCGCCAUCUCUCUGCCUCUGUUUCUCUCUGUCUCAGUCUGUCUCUCUGCCUCCCCUCCCCCACAUGAGGACAAUGAGGAGGGUUAUCGGUGGGGUGGGAACAGGGCCCUCGCCAGAACCCAGACUCCUGGGCGGCCAGCCUCCAGGGCAGGAACCACACACGUCUCCUGGGGAAGCCAUCUGUGCUAUUUUGCCAUGGCGGCCAGAGCUGACCAAGUGCUCAUCCAAAGCCCGAAUGUUUCUCUAGGCCAUGGCGGAGGCCAGCAUUGAGACAGC
rnacentral:lncRNA from 1 species